rnacentral:rRNA from 1 species
GACGAACGCUGGCGGCGUGCCUAAUACAUGCAAGUCGAGCGAAUCUUUGGGAGCUUGCUCCCAAAGAUUAGCGGCGGACGGGUGAGUAACACGUGGGCAACCUGCCUAUAAGACUGGGAUAACUUCGGGAAACCGGAGCUAAUACCGGAUAAUUCAUAUCUACUCAUGUAGAUAUGCUGAAAGACGGUUUCGGCUGUAACUUAUAGAUGAGCCCGCGGCGCAUUAGCUAGUUGGUGAGGUAAUGGCUCACCAAGGCAACGAUGCGUAGCCGACCUGGGAGGGUGAUCGGCCACACUGGGACUGAGACCCGGCCCAGACUCCUACGGGAGGCAGCAGUAGGGAAUCUUCCGCAAUUGACGAAAGUCUGACGGAGCGACGCCGCGUGAGUGAUGAAGGUUUUCGGAUCGUAAAACUCUGUUGUUAGGGAAGAAUAAGUACCAGAGUAACUGCUGGUACCUUGACGGUACCUAACCAGAAAGCCACGGCUAACUACGUGCCAGCCGCCGCGGUAA